rnacentral:sRNA from 1 species
AGAUAAACCCAAUAGUAGCGGUAGCCCCGACCCUUCAUCGGGCUAUAGCGAAUAACGGGGCUAUAC